GAAGGGCGGCCCCCUGGGACAGAUACUGACACUCAGAUGGGAAAGCGUGGGGGAGCAAACAGGAUUAGAUACCCUGGUAGUCCACGCCGUAAACGAUGUUUACUUGGAGGUUGUGGCCUUGAGCCGUGGCUUUCGGAGCUAACGCGUUAAGUAGACCGCCUGGGGAGUACGGUCGCAAGAUUAAAACUCAAAUGAAUUGACGGGGGCCCGCACAAGCGGUGGAGCAUGUGGUUUAAUUCGAUGCAACGCGAAGAACCUUACCUACUCUUGACAUCCAGAGAACUUUCCAGAGAUGGAUUGGUGCCUUCGGGAACUUUGAGACAGGUGCUGCAUGGCUGUCGUCAGCUCGUGUUGUGAAAUGUUGGGUUAAGUCCCGCAACGAGCGCAACCCUUAUCCUUGUUUGCCAGCGAGUAAUGUCGGGAACUCCAGGGAGACUGCCGGUGAUAAACCGGAGGAAGGUGGGGACGACGUCAAGUCAUCAUGGCCCUUACGAGUAGGGCUACACACGUGCUACAAUGGCGCAUACAGAGGGCGGCCAACUUGCGAGAGUGAGCGAAUCCCAAAAAGUGCGUCGUAGUCCGGAUCGGAGUCUGCAACUCGACUCCGUGAAGUCGGAAUCGCUAGUAAUCGUGGAUCAGAAUGCCACGGUGAAUACGUUCCCGGGCCUUGUACACACCGCCCGUCACACCAUGGGAGUGGGCUGCAAAAGAAGUAGGUAGUUUAACCUUCGGGAGGACGCUAC
rnacentral:rRNA from 1 species